GCAUAUAACUAAGCGGAGGAAAAGAAACUAACCAGGAUUCCCUCAGUAACGGCGAGUGAAGCGGGAACAGCUCACCAUGAGAAUCUGAAAGGUUUUGCCUUUUCCGAGUUGUAGUCUCUAGAAGCGCAGCCAGCAGACGGAGAGGGUUAAGUCCCUUGAACAGGCGC
rnacentral:rRNA from 1 species